rnacentral:rRNA from 1 species
GAUGAACGCUGGCGGCGUGCCUAAUACAUGCAAGUCGAGCGAACAGACGAGGAGCUUGCUCCUCUGACGUUAGCGGCGGACGGGUGAGUAACACGUGGAUAACCUACCUAUAAGACUGGGAUAACUUCGGGAAACCGGAGCUAAUACCGGAUAAUAUAUUGAACCGCAUGGUUCAAUAGUGAAAGACGGUUUUGCUGUCACUUAUAGAUGGAUCCGCGCCGCAUUAGCUAGUUGGUAAGGUAACGGCUUACCAAGGCAACGAUGCGUAGCCGACCUGAGAGGGUGAUCGGCCACACUGGAACUGAGACACGGUCCAGACUCCUACGGGAGGCAGCAGUAGGGAAUCUUCCGCAAUGGGCGAAAGCCUGACGGAGCAACGCCGCGUGAGUGAUGAAGGGCUUCGGAUCGUAAAACUCUGUUAUUAGGGAAGAACAAAUGUGUAAGUAACUAUGCACGUCUUGACGGUACCUAAUCAGAAAGCCACGGCUAACUACGUGC